ensembl:lncRNA
UUUUUUUUUUUUUUUUAUGAUGUGACCUCACCAAGCGUUUUAAAGAUCAUUCAAGGUUUCGAACGUUCAUUUUUCCGACCACAUUUCUUCCUCAAAGUUGACUGCUUGCCACUCUCCUUCCAGGUUUUAAUAACGCGUUGGACAGUUCUUAACCCGACCCGAUUCCAGGGAUUCAAACAGUCUCCUUAGUUGUUUUCGUUGCUCGAUGCAUGGCAAUAAUUUGCCCCUUCUGAAACACAGUAACAUCAUCUCCACGACCAUGGGAUACGUCUUCCGACACGGCUGUUUAAAUAAUGAGAAGCUACACACUGCUUCAGUUAGGGUUCAAAGAAUUGUUGCCAGCUGAAUCACUGCAAUAAUGAUCCAGUCAUAGGCCCUUAAGUAUUUGCUUAUUUAAAUCUAAAUAAUUUUUGGACAGGCAUUGUAUACUGAUCAGAUGGCCGAGCAGUAGGUACUGAAUCGAAUGUAGUUGGUACUGAAUCGAAUGCAGUAGGUACUGAAUCGAAUGCAGUUGGUACUGAAUCUAAUGCAGUAGGUACUGAAUCGAAUGCAAUUGGUACUGAGUCGAAUGCAGUAGGUACUGGAUCGAAUGCAGUAGGUACUGAAUCGAAUGCAGUAGGUACUGAGUCGAAUGCAGUAGGUACUGAAUCGAAUGCAGUUGGUACUGGAUCGAAUGCAGUAGGUACUGAAUCGAAUGCAAUUGGUACUGAAUCGAAUGCAAUUGGUACUGAAUCUAAAGCAGUUGGUACUGAAUCAAAUGCGAUUUCAGAAGCGGCCAUGGUAUGUUCUUUCUUGAAGGGGAAAAAAAAAAAGUGG